UGUCUUUUAUAAGAAGCACUGAUUUGAUCUCACAGCACUGAGACAAACACAGGUGAAGACUCAAUAACAACAAGAUCCACACUGAAAAUAAUUAUUUGGAGAUUUUUGACAAGAUGAGAAAAUCCCUCUUGCUGGUUCUCACCAUAACAGCUUCUGUAGCUUUUGCCAGUCCACCAGUUCAGGAUGAGAAGCUUCCAGAUCCAGUGGUGAAGGUACCAGUGGUUGAAAACGAGCUGAAUGAAGAGCACACAGAAGCAGAAGCAGGUCCUCUGGUGCAGGAUGAAGCUGUUGCAGAUUCACGUCCGGAGCCUGAUUCAGUGCUGCUGGAGCCAGAAACAACAGAGGAACAAAGAUUACCAGAAGAGACACAAAUGAUGUUGGAGAAACUUGUGCUAGAGGCAGAUAACUUGACUGAUGAGAUGCUAGAGACAGAACUAGAGCCUGAGCUGGAAAUAACCGACUUUUAGAAGGACAGCAACAUCAUACCAGAGUUAGAGUCUGAAACUAAUACAGAAGAGGAAGAUGAAAAAGAAGAAAAUCUAGUAAAGGAAGAGCCUACACUUGAGGCUGACUAUAUAAUGGAUGAAAAUCCAGAAAUACAAAUGGACCCUGGGAGGCAAAGUCGAAGGACACAGAAUGGAUGGGGGACUUGUGGAGGAGUUGUCCUACAGGGCAAAUGUUACUAGUACUUCAGAGUAAACCUCAAAGCCUAUCAAGCUGAGGUAUGAGUGUCAUAUAAAACAUAUCAUUCCAUUGUCAGUCCAUCUGCUAUAAUGGCCACCUGGCCUCUGUGUCAAGCAGCUACAUUCUUGGAGAAAUAGGGAAGCUAAUGGAUCGGAAUGGCGGCCGCACUCGCGCAUGGCUUGGAGGAUGGAGAAUCUUUAAUACACGUAAUUUCAUAUGGUUGGAUGGAACGCACUGGAGCUAUAAUGGCUGGGGUGUUGGAGAACCCAAUAAUGCUGGAGGGCAGGAGAACUGUGCAGAGACGUGGUAUAAUCUGGCGUUCAAUGAUGCACCAUGCACAAUUCCCAAACCAUUCCUCUGUUCCUGUCCACUUUAAACAGACAGAGGGUUAACCUAACCUGCUAUACAGUAACGUUUAUGAAAAAAGUGUAAAUAAUAAUCAUUAUUGCAAUUUUUUAAAGAUUAAUUUAUAAGAGUUAUCAACUGAUGUUUAAUUCAAUUUGCCUUGCAUUUUUAUAAAAAGAAGAAUAAACAUGUUUAUAUAUCUCAACUGUUUCAUUAAGUUUGGUUAAUAUAGCA